CGCCGGAACCCUUGUCUUCUUGAUUGGUCGUUUAGAUGGUAUGCAGCAGUUGUAUAAGGUCUUUAGUUGUUCAAGCUAGAACCUUUGCCAAAUGAGUGAGAAUAAACAACACUAGGAGGAGUUUGCAAGCUGUCCCUAGUAUUUCUUAUUCGCCUACUCGCCAAUUCAAGACAUUCACAGUGAUGAUGGUGAAAGAAGUGCUGAUUUCCUUAUAGAUAUGAUGCCAGAGAAAGAUGAUGAUGGCCGAUUUGCAAGUGGAGGGUGGAAUAGUGAGGAUGGAAGGCUUAGCUGUGGGUAUUCAAGCUUCAGAGGGAAGAAAGUAUCGAUGGAGGAUUUUUACGAUAUUAAAACAUUAAAAAUUGGUGGUCAUUCAGUAUGCUUACUUGGAGUAUUUGAUGGUCAUGGUGGUUUUCGUGGUGCAGAAUAUUUGAAAGAGCAUCUCUUUGAUAAUCUCAUGAAGCAUCCAAAAUCUUUUACUGAUGCCAAAUUGGCUAUAAGUGAAACGUAUUAAGAUUAUAGGACUAUAAUAUCGAAGGCUGGUAAGGCAAUUGCUCUCUUUGAGGAUCAUGAGCCAAACAGAAGUGAUGAACGAAAGAGGAAUUGAUGCGUUUAAACUAAAUUGAGCUUUACCUUUUCAGGAA